CAGUGGCUAUGAGUUUGACUACGAUUACUACAGAGAGGACUUCUAUGACAGGUUGUUCGAGUUUCGCAGCAGAGUGUCUCCCAUCCCUCGGGUGGUGCCGGUCAAACGUCCCAGGGUGGCGGUACCGCUGGUUCGACGUGUCAAAUCUCUGCCGGUCAAAGUGUUAGCAUGUAGCGCCUCCGUCCUUCCCACCAACGGAAACAAAAAGAGACCAGCCAUGAAAGGAACAGAGCUGCAGGCCAUCAAGUCGGAGCUGACUCAGAUCAAAAGCAACAUCGAGGCUUUGCUGGGCAGGCUGGAGCAGAUCACAGAGGAGGCACGGAUCACUGCCACAGGUGACGCACACAUGCAAGAGCGACGGCAUUCAGAACAAAAAUUUAAAAAAACUUUUGUUUCCAAUCACAGAGAAAAUACGGCACAAAUGUCGACCUUUAGUUGUAAAUCAAU